rnacentral:rRNA from 1 species
GUGUCAGCAGCCGCGGUAAUACCGGCAGCACGAGUGAUGACCGCUCUUAUUGGGCCUAAAGCGUCCGUAGCUGGCCACGCAAGUCUAUCGGGAAAUCCGCGCGCUCAACGCGCGGGCGUCCGGUGGAAACUGUGUGGCUUGGGACCGGAAGAUCCAGAGGGUACGUCUGGGGUAGGAGUGAAAUCCCGUAAUCCUGGACGGACCACCGGUGGCGAAAGCGCUCUGGAAAGACGGAUCCGGCGGUGAGGGACGAAAGCUCGGGUCACGAACCGGAUUAGAAACCCCAGUAGUCC